rnacentral:rRNA from 1 species
CCUACGGGUGACAGCAGUGAGGAUUAUUGGUCAAUGGGCGCGAGCCUGACCCAGCCAAGUAGCGUGAAGGAUGACUGCCCUACGGGUUGUAAACUUCUUUUAUAAAGGAAUAAAGUGAUGCACGUGUGCCUUUUUGUAUGUACUUUAUGAAUAAGGAUCGGCUAACUCCGUGCCAGCAGCCGCGGUAAUACGGAGGAUCCGAGCGUUAUCCGGAUUUAUUGGGUUUAAAGGGAGCGUAGAUGGGUUGUUAAGUCAGUUGUGAAAGUUUGCGGCUCAACCGUAAAAUUGCAAGUGAUACUGGCAGUCUUGAGUACAGUGGAGGUAGGCGGAAUUCGUGGUGUAGCGGUGAAAUGCUUAGAUAUCACGAAGAACUCCGAUUGCGAAGGCAGUUCACUGGACUGCAACUGACACUGAGGCUCGAAAGUGUGGGUAUCAAACAGGAUUAGAUACCCGAGUAGUC